rnacentral:lncRNA from 1 species
UCAAAACCCGCCACAGGGAAGAGAACCCAAACAGUGCUCAAGGACAGCUCAGGCAAGACGUCAAGGUGGGCAAGCAGGGUUCCGCGGGAGAAUCGGGCCGGACAGGUGUGCAAGGAGUAGGCUUCGGCUAGGACAAACUGGACAAUAGUUGGCAAAAGCACGUGACAACCUCCGUGGAAGCAUAGAUACAACCUCGCAGGCGUGGAAGGGGGGGAAUACUGGUGAGAGAGGAUCGUACAUCCAGGGACAUCACCAGAAAUCCACACCCCAGCACGCAAAGAGGGGGGGAAUACUGAUAGUACAGGGUCCAACACACAGACCAUAGUACUAAAAGACGUAUCCCAAAGUACCUAGUACGCAGAGGAGGGGGGAGUACUGGUGAUACAGUAUCCCGAACACGGUCACAACCUACCAGCAACUAGAAGUCCGGAUAGCCUAAGAUGAGUUGAGGUAUCUAUUCUAGGGUUGGGGAG